GAAGCCUCCCGCCAGGACACUACACCCUCUGUUGGGUCACCUCUGCCAUCUGGGAGCCCGGGCAGCUGUGUCCCCCUGUACUGGCUGAGGGACUUUAUUUCUAGGCCUCCCGAUCCUUUGUGUCUGUGAGUUCAUUCUCCACACUUCACCUCACGUAUUCAUAUUGUCCCCUUUUAGUCACACAAAAGUAUCCCCUCUGUCACCUGCUCAGUGAUGAUUACUCCUUCCCUGUCUGUUAUGGUGUGG
rnacentral:lncRNA from 1 species